rnacentral:rRNA from 1 species
CAGCCGCCGCGGUAAUACGGAGGGUGCAAGCGUUAAUCGGAAUUACUGGGCGUAAAGCGUGCGUAGGCGGUUCGUUAAGUCUGUUGUGAAAGCCCCGGGCUCAACCUGGGAAUGGCAAUGGAUACUGGCGAGCUAGAGUGUGUCAGAGGACGGUGGAAUUCCCGGUGUAGCGGUGAAAUGCGUAGAUAUUCGGAAGAACACCAGUGGCGAAGGCGACUACCUGGUCUGGCAUUGACGCUCAUGUGCGAAAGCGUGGGGAGCAAACAGGAUUAGAUACCCCCGUAGUCCCUGUCUCUUAUAC